rnacentral:rRNA from 1 species
UACGUAGGCAGCAAGCGUUGUUCGGAAUUACUGGGCGUAAAGCGUGUGUAGGCGGUGUCAUAAGGUUGGUGUGAAAUCUCCCGGCUUAACUGGGAGGGUGCGCCGAAGACUGUGAUGCUCGAGUGUGGGAGAGGUAAGCGGAAUUCCUGGUGUAGCGGUGAAAUGCGUAGAGAUCGGAAAGAACACCAACGGCGAAAGCACUCUGCUGGGCCGACACUGACACUGAGAGACGAAAGCUAGGGGAGCGAAUGGG